rnacentral:tRNA from 1 species
AGAGUAAUAGCUCAGUGGUAGAGCACAUGCUUAACAUGGAUGAGGUUUUGGGUUCAAUCCCUGGUACCUCCA